CGGACAUGAGAGUCGACGGUCGUAAUCCCCUUGAGUAUCGUAAAAUAACAAUCAAGUUUGGCAGAGAAGAUGGGUCAUCAGAGGUGCAGCUAGGCCAGACUCAUGUAAUGGGUUUUGUGACAAGUCAACUAGUUCAACCUUAUCGAGACCGACCAAAUGAAGGGUCACUUUCAAUUUUUACGGAGUUCUCGCCCAUGGCUGAUCCUUCAUUUGAGCCAGGCCGUCCUGGAGAAUCUGCAGUGGAGUUGGGCCGAAUAAUCGACCGAGGUCUAAGGGAAAGCAGGGCAGUGGAUACAGAAUCACUUUGUGUUCUUGCUGGGAAGUUAGUAUGGGCCAUUCGAAUUGACCUUCACAUCUUAGACAAUGGGGGGAAUCUUGUUGAUGCUGCCAA
rnacentral:misc_RNA from 1 species